GACAGAGGGUGCAAACGUUGUUCGGAAUUACUGGGCGUAAAGCGUGUGUAGGCGGCCACGUAAGUCAGGUGUGAAAGCCCCAGGCUUAACCUGGGAAGUGCACUUGAUACUGCAUGGCUUGAGUAUCGGAGAGGUUGGUGGAAUUCUCGGUGUAGAGGUGAAAUUCGUAGAUAUCGAGAGGAACACCGGUGGCGAAGGCGGCCAACUGGACGAAUACUGACGCUGAGACACGAAAGCGUGGGGAGCAAACAGG
rnacentral:rRNA from 1 species